rnacentral:rRNA from 1 species
CGGAUAGAGCCGGCGAAGUCGCUCGUAUUCAGCCAAAGGCUCGGGGCUUCCCUGGCGCUGGGUUGUUAACCACUCCCAGUGUUGGUGUGUUGUCCUCGGGUUGAGGUGCAUUUACGGGCGUUUGCGCUGAGACUUGCGAGGCAGCUGCUGGACCCGUGCACUAGAGGCUUCCCUAUGGGUUGAACCUGGUCGCGGCGACGGUUGUUUGCCUUGCUCGUACACUGGGCUAGGCCUACGGACCGGGGUGGUGGUGUCGGUGUUGCACGGUGGUAUCGCAUGCGAUGCCUAGUGUAGUGCUUGCAUUGCUGCUUCGCUGUUCCCUGGCCCACUCUCGGUGUAGAAGCCGGUCAUCUCUCCGACCCGUCUUGAAACACGGACCAAGGAGUUUAGCGUAUGCGCGAGUCAUUGGGUGCUGAAAACCCAUAGGCGCAAUGAAAGUAAAGGCCCAGCCGCUGGGCUGACAUGUGAGUGUGGGUGCCUUCGGGCCCUGCAUGCAGCAUGGUCCCAUUGUAAUCGCUUGCGAUGCAGUGGAGACAGAGCGUAUGCGCUGAG